CGCACCUUGCACUCCUUGGUAUUCCGAGGAGUAUGCCUGUUUGAGUGUCUUGUAAUCAUCAAUCUGAUAUUGCUUUUGUGAUGUCGGAUUGGACUUGGAGACUGCUGAUCCUUACGGACUGGCUUCUCUUGAAUGCAUUAGUUGGAUCGACUUGCAACGCUACGUGCAGUGUGAUAAUAUCUUCACUGCAUAGUUGUAAUGAAGUUCAGCUUCUAACAGUCCUUCGUUGGACAAUACUUGACCAUUUGACCUCAAAUCAGGUAGGACUACCCGCUGAACUUAA
rnacentral:misc_RNA from 1 species